ACCACGAUUCACGGCAGGUGUUCGAGUUACCCUUCCCGCCAGCCACUCACCUGUCCCCGUCUUCCACGCCCUGAGGGCCGCGGCUCUGGAAACGGGGAUACAGGAGCCUGGCGGCGCCGAAGCACCCGCGCAGGCCAAGACGGCUCCCCAGGCCCCACACAGCCAUGAGCCAGGCUGCUUGACGGGAGCUGACCCCGCCAGGUUCCCGUCCAGUCCCCGGGGUGACUCCACCCACAGCUGGCCGCGCCACCGCUCAGCUUUCAAUUUUUAUUGGUUCGCAGUUCUCACCCCAGGGCGGGACACUCCCAGGGACUUGUUUCCCAUUGGUUUAACGGAAGGAGCGGGGCGGGAAAACCCGUGUCGGCUUGGCUGCAACACCUAUUGACCAAUGUUCAAGCCUAUUGGUAAAGGAUUCCCAGGAGCCAUGUUGUCAGAAGUCCUACUGGUGUCUGCUCCGGGGAAAGUCAUCCUUCAUGGAGAACAUGCCGUGGUACAUGGCAAGGUAGCACUGGCUGUAUCCUUGAACUUGAGAACAUUCCUCCGGCUUCAACCCCACAGCAAUGGGAAAGUGGACCUCAGCUUACCCAACAUUGGUAUCAAGCGGGCCUGGGAUGUGGCCAGGCUUCAGUCACUGGACGCAAGCUUUCUGGAGCAAGGUGAUGUCACAACACCCACCUCAGAGCAAGUGGAGAAGCUAAAGGAGGUUGCAGGCUUGCCUGACGACUGUGCUGUCACCGAGCGCCUGGCUGUGCAGGCCUUUCUUUACUUAUACCUGUCCAUCUGCCGGAAGCAGAGGGCCCUGCCGAGCCUGGAUAUCGUAGUGUGGUCGGAGCUGCCCCCCGGGGCGGGCUUGGGCUCCAGCGCCGCCUACUCGGUGUGUCUGGCAGCAGCCCUCCUGACUGUGUGCGAGGAGAUCCCAAACCCGCUGAAGGACGGGGAUUGCGUCAACAGGUGGACCAAGGAGGAUUUGGAGCUAAUUAACAAGUGGGCCUUCCAAGGGGAGAGAAUGAUUCAUGGGAACCCCUCCGGAGUGGACAAUGCUGUCAGCACCUGGGGAGGAGCCCUCCGAUACCAUCAAGGGAAGAUUUCAUCCUUAAAGAGGUCGCCAGCUCUCCAGAUCCUGCUGACCAACACCAAAGUCCCUCGCAAUACCAGAGCCCUUGUGGCUGGUGUCAGAAACAGGCUGCUCAAGUUCCCAGAGAUCGUGGCCCCCCUCCUGACCUCAAUAGAUGCCAUCUCCCUGGAGUGUGAGCGCGUGCUGGGAGAGAUGGGGGAAGCCCCAGCCCCGGAGCAGUACGUUGUGCUGGAACCGCUGAAAUGUGCAACUCGGCUCCUGGACAGCUUUGCACUCAAACCAGCGAACUGUUCUCCUGUGUCACAACCUGUCAUCUGAUCCUUGACAGAUUUUGGAUCAGAAUGUGACAGGUGUCUGGAACCUGCCUCGGCAACGUGACACCUGGUGCUCAGGCGCAGAGAGCGGCCCCCAGAAGUCUUCUCUCACAUCCAGCCCAUCAGGCUGGUGAGAGGCACCCGGGGCUGCCACCAGGCCAUCAUGCCUGUCUGCUCAUUUGUCAAAAAUGUCACCAGUGCCAGAGGCUUCUGUGACCAGCCCUAGGAUAUGUGCUCACUGCUGUGGUGAAGGUAUGCUCAGCUCUACCCAAGCUCCGUGAGAAACGCUGCAGGGCAGAAGGAUUCUUUUACAAGUGGAGAGGGCCAGGGUGCCAGGAGCUCAUUGACAUGAACCAGCACCAUCUGAAUGCCCUCGGCGUGGGCCACGCCUCUCUGGACCAGCUCUGCCAGGUGACCAGGGCCCGCGGACUUCACAGCAAGCUGACUGGCGCAGGCGGUGGUGGCUGUGGCAUCACACUCCUCAAGCCAGGGCUGGAGCAGCCAGAAGUGGAGGCCACGAAGCAGGCCCUGACCAGCUGUGGCUUUGACUGCUUGGAAACCAGCAUCGGUGCCCCCGGCGUCUCCAUCCACUCAGCCACCUCCCUGGACAGCCGAGUCCAGCAAGCCCUGGAUGGCCUCUGAGAGGAGCCCACGACACUGCAGCCCCACCCAGAUGCCCCUUUCUGGAUUAUUCUGGGGGCUGCAGUUCGACUCUGUGCUGGCCAGCGAGCGCCCAGCUCCUGACACUGCUGGAGAGGCCCCAGCCGCUUGGCGAUGCCAGCCGAGCUCUGCAGUCCCAGCGGUGGGACCUAGGGAGGCAUGGUCUGCCCUCUGCAUCCUCUGGAGCCAGCCGAGCAGGAGGCCUAGGAGGUCCUCUGAGACUCCAGACCUGAGGCGAGAAGGGCUGCUUCCCUGAAGCUCCCACAGUCCCAUCUGCUUCAGGCCCCCGCCUUGGCCUGUGUUCUUCCUGGCCGCCUGGGUCCGAUGCUCAGAUGCUGGGGCCUGGUUCCCGGAGAAGUGUGCCUUCUCUCUCCCUUUUCAGGGACCGCCCCCUGUCUCUCAGGGCCAGGCCUCUUCCUCCUCCUCCAGGAAGCCUUCCCCUACCCCUUGUCGCCCCUCCCUCCCAGAGCACCUGCUGUCUGGGUGGCUCACUCAGCACUUGGUGUGGCCUUCCCUUCUACCUAGCGGGAUGGGGCUCCCCAGGGGCUGUCCCGGAGGCGGUGGGCCUGGUUAAAUAAGGCAGGGUUUAUAUGCACUUUCUUCCAAUCUGUACCUGAGAGGUUUGUGGAAAAGAUGGCAAAUGGGGAAUAAAAAGAUUUUGUGUCAACA